GUGCCAGAAGCCUCGGUAAUACGAAGGGGGCUAGCGUUGUUCGGAAUUACUGGGCGUAAAGCGCNCGUAGGCGGAUUUUUAAGUCUGGGGUGAAAUCCCGGGGCUCAACCCCGGAACUGCCUUGGAUACUGGAAGUCUGGAGGACGGAAGAGGUCAGUGGAAUGCCGAGUGUAGAGGUGAAAUUCGUAGAUAUUCGGCGGAACACCAGUGGCGAAGGCGACUGACUGGUCCGUUUCUGACGCUGAGGUGCGAAAGUGUGGGGGAGCAAACAGGAUUAGAUACCCUGGUAGUCCACACCGUAAACGAUGAGAGCUAGUUGUCGGCAAAUUUNUUUGUCGGUGACGCAGCUAACGCAUUAAGCUCUCCGCCUGGGGAGUACGGCCGCNAGNNUAAAACUCNAUGAAUUGGCGG
rnacentral:rRNA from 1 species